rnacentral:rRNA from 1 species
UGAGGAAUUUUCCGCAAUGGGCGCAAGCCUGACGGAGCGACGUCGCGUGUGGGAAGAAGGCCUUCGGGUCGUAAACCACUGUCGAAGGGGACGAUAUUGACGGUACCCUUGGAGGAAGCCCCGGCUAACUACGUGCCAGCAGCCGCGGUAAGACGUAGGGGGCAAGCGUUGUCCGGAAUUACUGGGCGUAAAGCGCGCGUAGACGGUUUUGUAAGUCAGAUGUGAAAUCCCUGGGCUCAACCUGGGAACUGCAUUUGAAACUGCAUGGCUAGAGUAUGGUAGAGGGAAGUGGAAUUUCCGGUGUAGCGGUGAAAUGCGUAGAUAUCGGAAGGAACACCAGUGGCGAAAGCGACUUCCUGGACCAAUACUGACGUUCAUGUGCGAAAGCGUGGGGAGCAAACAGGAUUAGAUACCCUGGUAGUCCACGCCAUAAACGAUGACAACUAGAUGUUGGGAGGGUCUGCCUCUCGGUGUCGCAGCUAACGCGUUAAGUUGUCCGCCUGGGGAGUACGGCCGCAAGGU